AUUGAACGCUGGCGGCAGGCCUAACACAUGCAAGUCGAGCGGAGCGGCGGACGGGUGAGUAAUGCCUAGGAAUCUGCCUGGUAGUGGGGGAUAACGUCCGGAAUGGGGCGCUAAUAUCGUAUCCCAUCAGAUGAGCUUAGGUCGGAUUAGCUAGUUGGUGGGGUAAAGGCCUACCAAGGCGACGAGCCGUCACUGGUCUGAGGGGAUGAUCAGUCACACUGGAACUGAGACACGGUCCAGACGCCUACGGGAGGCAGCAGUGGGGAAUAUUGGACAAUGGGCGAAAGCCUGAUCCAGCCAUGCCGCGUGUGUGAAGAAGGUCUUCGGAUUGUAAAGCACUUUAAGUUGGGAGGCGUUACCAACAGAAUAAGCACCGGCUAACUUCGUGCCAGCAGCCGCGGUAAUUC
rnacentral:rRNA from 1 species